UACGGAGGGUGCAAGCGUUGUUCGGAAUCAUUGGGCGUAAAGCGCGUGUAGGCGGCUUGGCAAGUCGGUUGUGAAAGCCCGGGGCCCAACCCCGGAACUGCAUCUGAAACUGCCUGGCUAGAGUCCCGGAGAGGAAGGCAGAAUUCCCGGUGUAGGGGUGAAAUCCGUAGAUAUCGGGAGGAACACCAAUGGCGAAGGCAGCUCGCUGGGACGUUACUGACGCUGAGACGCGAAAGCGUGGGGAGCAAACAGG
rnacentral:rRNA from 1 species